rnacentral:sRNA from 1 species
UUUCUCAAUCUGUAUUUGAGGAUGAUCCUGAAUUUGGAUCCUUUUCAAAGGGAAAGUUCACCAGGAAACCGUCUGCAUAGACUCCCUCCCAUGGGAAGUAAACUCUGGAUCUUGUCUGCGCCUGCAGACCUGAGACUCCCUCAAUGUGUCUUUCCCUCUAGGUCCUGUGUCUCAUCACUGCUCCUGUCACCAUGAUUCUGUCCAGCCAGCAGGAUGCAGCCUUUGCCUUUGCCUCUCUUGCCAUAGUUUUCUCCUCCUAUAUCACUCUUGUUGUGCUCUUUGUGCCCAAGAUGCGCAGGCUGAUCACCCGAGGGGAAUGGCAGUCGGAGGCGCAGGACACCAUGAAGACAGGGUCAUCGACCAACAACAACGAGGAGGAGAAGUCCCGGCUGUUGGAGAAGGAGAACCGCGAACUGGAAAAGAUCAUUGCUGAGAAAGAGGAGCGUGUCUCUGAACUGCGCCAUCAACUCCAGUCUCGGCAGCAGCUCCGCUCCCGGCGCCACCCACCAACACCCCCAGACCCCUCUGGGGGCCUGCCCAGGGGACCUCCUGAGCCCCCCGACCGGCUUAGCUGUGAUGGGAGUCGAGUGCAUUUGCUUUAUAAGUGAGGGUAGGGUGAGGGAGGACAGGCCAGUAGGGGGAGGGAAAGGGAGAGGGGAAGGGCAGGGGACUCAGGAAGCAGGGGGUCCCCAUCCCCAGCUGGGAAGAACAUGCUAUCCGAUCUCAUCUCUUGUAAAUACAUGUUCCCCUGUGAGUUCUGGGCUGAUUUGGGUCUCUCAUACCUCUGGGAAACGGACCUUUUUCUCUCUUACUGCUUCAUGUAAUUUUGUAUCACCU